GGAUGUAGCUCAGUGGUACAGUGCAUGCCUGGCAAGCAUGAGGCCCUGAGUUCAAUUCCCAGUACCAACA
rnacentral:tRNA from 1 species